rnacentral:tRNA from 2 species
UCUUAGGUGACUGAGUUAAAGUGCUAGACUUUUAAUCUAGAGACAGCAUGUGUAGAAGUGCUCCUAGGAA